CGCAGCCGGUGACGGGUCGCUGAUUCUGCCCAAUCUCUGUUUCCCGUCCCUCCCACAGCCAGGAGUGGGGCUCCAGGUCUGGCCCGUUUUGGGCGGCCCCACUCACGGGUCGAGCCUCGGCGGUGCAGGAGAUGACGACGAAGUUCAGAGAAGGGUACCAACUCACCCAGGAUCACAGAACGCAUGCAUUGCAGAGCUGAGUGCGACUCAGAAGCCCCCGCUUCCCAGAGAUUGCAGCGGCGCCGCGUCAGCCCUGGAUCCGGGCCUAAGCAAGGGAGCUAGACACCGGAUCCCCAAGCACCUCCACCCUCCUGGGGUUCCUCUAUUAAAGACCUAGUAUCUGGA